rnacentral:rRNA from 1 species
UGGGGAAUAUUGCGCAAUGGGGGAAACCCUGACGCAGCAACGCCGCGUGAAGGAAGAAGGUUUUCGGAUUGUAAACUUCUUUUAUAGGGGACGAUAAUGACGGUACCCUAUGAAUAAGCUCCGGCUAACUACGUGCCAGCAGCCGCGGUAAUACGUAGGGAGCAAGCGUUAUCCGGAUUUACUGGGUGUAAAGGGCGAGUAGGCGGGAUAUUAAGUCAGAUGUGAAAUCUAUGGGCUCAACCCAUAGUCUGCAUUUGAAACUGAUAUUCUUGAGUGAUGGAGAGGCAGGCGGAAUUCCCAGUGUAGCGGUGAAAUGCGUAGAUAUUGGGAGGAACACCAGUGGCGAAGGCGGCCUGCUGGACAUUAACUGACGCUGAGGCGCGAAAGCGUGGGGAGCAAACA